rnacentral:antisense_RNA from 1 species
AAUGCAAGUGUUUAACAGAUGCUUCACUAUUAAAAUAUUUUCCCCCCAAGUCUCAAAUAUUGAAGAAUCUCUAACCAGGCUCGAAACGCCGGUCUCAGUGACUAUUGAGUUACCCACCAAGUUACCCCGGUUAGAGCUGUUUGGGGUGGCUCACGUUAUUGCGGCAAACUUUGGAGAUGACGGCUGAGUCCUCUGGGCGAACAUGUCAAGCCGAUUGUAAAUGCUGUUAUUUCCACAUCCUUCAGGGACACCAGUCCCAACGAAGACCUUGGGCGAUUUCAAAGUGCGGGCACCUCGAUUCCCCGAAUCUGUAGUGUGGCUGGUAUCGGUGUUUCCCUGGUUUAACUAGCCUGCUUGAAGGCGCAGAUCAUUCAUGGGGAAGUAAAACCGAAACCAGUCCUCUCCACCCCCUGCGGGUCUUCACUUUCCCAGUCUACAUCUGCCUGUGACUCCAGAAAGACAAACUGCAGAUUGGCCAAGGUACAUCUCAGAUCAGAUCCCUCUGGGAAAAGCGCGGGAAUGCUUGGCUCUAGUAGUUAGGAGCUCUGGUGAGAGCGCCCCUAGUGCCAUUUUCCCAUCCCUGCCCUUGACGGUCCCCUUUGGUCUAAAUUCACGGUUCUAGACAGUCAAAGUCUACCUGCUGGAUGUCCACUUUCAAGCCAUAGGUUUUCAAUACUAAAAGCGAUUAGGACCUUGGCUCAAAAUGUGGUCAACGCAGUGUUCAAAUUAGGAGGGCAGCUGGGAGAUGGCAGCAGGGGAUGAAAGUAUGACUCCUACUUUGUCCCCAACUGUGAGUCUGGCACCC